CCUACGGGCGGCAGCAGUAGGGAAUUUUCCACAAUGGGCGAAAGCCUGAUGGAGCAACGCCGCGUGCAGGAUGAAGGCCUUCGGGUUGUAAACUGCUUUUUUCUGUGACGAUUAUGACGGUAGCAGACGAAUAAGGACCGGCUAACUACGUGCCAGCAGCCGCGGUCAUACGUAGGGUCCAAGCGUUAUCCGGAAUUACUGGGCGUAAAGAGUUGCGUAGGUGGCAGAGUAAGUAGGUAGUGAAAGCACACGGCUCAACCGUGUAUCCAUUACCUAAACUGCUCAGCUAGAAGAUGAGAGAGGUCGCUAGAAUUCCUAGUGUAGGAGUGAAAUCCGUAGAUAUUAGGAGGAAUACCGAUGGCGUAGGCAGGCGACUGGCUCAUUCUUGACACUAAGGCACGAAAGCGUGGGGAGCAAACGGGAUUAGAUACCCGUGUAGUC
rnacentral:rRNA from 1 species